ACUCGGGUGAAGGAACUAGGCAAAAUGGUACCGUAACUUCGGGAGAAGGUACGCUCUCGACGGUGAAGUCCCUCGCGGAUGGAGCUAUUGAGAGUCGCAGAUACCAGGUGGCUGCAACUGUUUAUUAAAAACACAGCACUGUGCAAAAUCGUAAGAUGACGUAUACGGUGUGACGCCUGCCCGGUGCCGGAAGGUUAAUUGAUGGGGUUAGACUUCGGUCGAAGCUCUUGAUCGAAGCCCCGGUAAACGGCGGCCGUAACUAUAACGGUCCUAAGGUAGCGAAAUUCCUUGUCGGGUAAGUUCCGACCUGCACGAAUGGCGUAAUGAUGGCCACGCUGUCUCCACCCGAGACUCAGUGAAAUUGAAAUCGCUGUGAAGAUGCAGUGUACCCGCGGCUAGACGGAACCACCCUUGUAGUGUUGAUGUUCUAACGUCGACCCCUUAUCGGGGUUGCGGACAGUGCCUGGUGGGUAGUUUGACUGGGGCGGUCUCCUCCCAAAGAGUAACGGAGGAGCACGAAGGUGGGCUAAUCACGGUUGGACAUCGUGAGGUUAGUGCAAUGGCAUAAGCCCGCUUGACUGCGAGAAUGACAAUUCGAGCAGGUGCGAAAGCAGGUCAUAGUGAUCCGGUGGUUCUGAAUGGAAGGGCCAUCGCUCAACGGAUAAAAGGUACUCCGGGGAUAACAGGCUGAUACCGCCCAAGAGUUCAUAUCGACGGCGGUGUUUGGCACCUCGAUGUCGGCUCAUCACAUCCUGGGGCUGAAGUCGGUCCCAAGGGUAUGGCUGUUCGCCAUUUAAAGUGGUACGCGAGCUGGGUUUAGAACGUCGUGAGACAGUUCGGUCCCUAUCUGCCGUGGGCGUUGGAAGAUUGAAGGGGGCUGCUCCUAGUACGAGAGGACCGGAGUGGACGAACCUCUGGUGUUCGGGUUGUGUCGCCAGACGCAUUGCCCGGUAGCUAAGUUCGGAAUCGAUAACCGCUGAAAGCAUCUAAGCGGGAAGCGAGCCCUGAGAUGAGUCUUCCCUGAUACUUUAAGUAUCCUAAAGGGUUGUCGGAGACUACGACGUUGAUAGGUCAGGUGUGUAAGUGCUGUGAGGCAUUGAGCUAACUGAUACUAAUUGCCCGUGAGGCUUAACCAUACAACACCCAAGGGGUUU
rnacentral:rRNA from 1 species